UGGGAGAGCCCAGCUGUGCAGCCACUGCUUGAAAGGAAUCUGCUCUUUCUGCCUGCUUAUGCUCUGCAGAUUGAGUACAGCCUUCAGGGAAAAGGGCAACAGGAUCUUCAGGAGUGGUGGUGCCAAACAGUUGUGCAAAGAGCUCCCUGGGCAGGAACCACCACUAUGGAAGUCUCUGGGAGAGCACUCCUUGGGAUGGAUGGGUUUGCUUUGAAGUUCCAGACUCUUGGGCCAGGCAUGUGAUUGCCUUGUGACUGUACAUGAGGUCUGUCCCUUGGUCAUCUUAGACAUUCCUUAAUGGGCCUCGUGACUCUUGUAAGGUUUGUCUUUGUGUGACAUACUGAAUCCCACACAUUCAUCUCUGAGAAGCAGGAGUCUUACAUGUGCAGAUGAGCCUCAGUUCCUGGGCUGGAUUUGACUCAAAGUGAAGCUGAAGUUCUGAAGAACUUCUUCUAAAACUAGCUCAGAUGCUGAGCACACAGAGAGCUCAGAUCUCAGUGGCAGUACCCCUGGGAGGGGCUCUCCUACAAAUGCACACUGAUACAGAAGGACCAAGAAGAGGAAGGAGAAACCAAUGGGAUACUUGAGUUUCAAGUGAGUUAUUAAGUUCAUUUGGAAAAAGUCAUUUAAUUUCCUGUCAUUUAACUUUCUCUCUGUCUAACUACCCAAUAGUUUUGGAAGCUUUUCUCUUGUGCAAGGUAUCAAAUAGAGUAUGGCCCCUGGAAUGAAGUGUAUUUGAUUAGGGAUAGAGAUUUGAAAUCAAAUAGUGU